rnacentral:rRNA from 1 species
AGUCGAACGAUGAACCCUUCGGUGGGGAUUAGUGGCGAACGGGUGAGUAACACGUGGGCAAUCUGCCCUUCACUCUGGGACAAGCCCUGGAAACGGGGUCUAAUACCGGAUAGCACUCCUGCUCGCAUGGGCAGGGGUUGAAAGCUCCGGCGGUGAAGGAUGAGCCCGCGGCCUAUCAGCUUGUUGGUGAGGUAACGGCUCACCAAGGCGACGACGGGUAGCCGGCCUGAGAGGGCGACCGGCCACACUGGGACUGAGACACGGCCCAGACUCCUACGGGAGGCAGCAGUGGGGAAUAUUGCACAAUGGGCGAAAGCCUGAUGCAGCGACGCCGCGUGAGGGAUGACGGCCUUCGGGUUGUAAACCUCUUUCAGCAGGGAAGAAGCGCAAGUGACGGUACCUGCAGAAGAAGCGCCGGCUAACUACGUGCCAGCAGCCGCGGUAAUACGUAGGGCGCAAGCGUUGUCCGGAAUUAUUGGGCGUAAAGAGCUCGUAGGCGGCUUGUCACGUCGGGUGUGAAAGCCCGGGGCUUAACCCCGGGUCUGCAUUCGAUACGGGCUAGCUAGAGUGUGGUAGGGGAGAUCGGAAUUCCUGGUGUAGCGGUGAAAUGCGCAGAUAUCAUGAGGAACACCGGUGGCGAAGGCGGAUCUCUGGGCCAUUACUGACGCUGAGGAGCGAAAGCGUGGGGAGCGAACAGGAUUAGAUACCCUGGUAGUCCACGCCGUAAACGGUGGGAACUAGGUGUUGGCGACAUUCCACGUCGUCGGUGCC